rnacentral:rRNA from 1 species
AAUUUAAAAUCUGGCGUCUUUCAGGCGUCCGAGUUGUAAUCUAUAGAGGCGUUUUCCGCGCCGGACCGCGUCCAAGUCUCUUGGAAUAGAGUAUCAAAGAGGGUGACAAUCCCGUACUUGACGCGACAACCGGUGCUCUGUGAUACGUUCUCAAUGAGUCGAGUUGUUUGGGAAUGCAGCUCUAAAUGGGUGGUAAAUUCCAUCUAAGGCUAAAUAUUGGCGAGAGACCGAUAGCGAACAAGUACCGUGAGGGAAAGAUGAAAAGCACUUUGGAAAGAGAGUUAAACAGCACGUGAAAUUGUUAAAAGGGAAACGAUUGAAGUCAGUCGUGUGAAAGGUAUUCAGCCGUCUCUGGCGGUGUAUUUGCCUUUCACGGGUCAACAUCAGUUUGAUCCGGUAGAAAAAGGCAGGAGGAAGGUGGCACCCUCGGGUGUGUUAUAGCCUCUUGUCAUAUGUGCCGGACCAGACUGAGGAACGCAGCUUGCCGCAAGGCCGGGGUUCGCCCACGUACAAGCUUAGGAUGUUGACAUAAUGGCUUUAAACGACCCGUCUUGAAACACGGACC